rnacentral:lncRNA from 1 species
UUUAAAGGUAACCUCUGGCAGUUUCAGUUUAACUCCUUGGCAGAGGCUUUGCCCUUUUAUCGUCAUCCCGUCUCCUAAACUUUGUUACCUCUGUGGUCGGUAAGUCAAGUUCCUCCACCAAUCCCCGGUGUAUAAAAUUGUGGGACGCUCCGCUGUUAACCAAUCCCCGGUGAUGGCUAAACACCUCUGCUCACAACUCCGGUGAAAACCCGUCACGAAGGCAUCCAUCAGCAUGCUUUCAGCCAUCUCAGGUAAGGGAGUACAAUAAUUCAAGAACUUCUUCAAAUACUAUGCGUAUUUGCCGUCUUGCUCAAUCCUGAUCAAUCGAGCUCCAUUGCUCUUUUCUCCCGUGGGUUGGAAAUGAUCAAACGUCCUCUAUUUCAGUUCCUCCCAUAACGUACUUGCUUCUGACUCAUCUAGUUUUCCCUUCAUUUUUAGCACUGAGGCGUCGGACGUUCCUGAUUCCUGAUUCUUCCUUCAUCCUACUUGCGGUAUUCCCCUUCACAUCAAUCACCAAUUGUUCCAUACACUUUUACAUUCUCAGCAAAAUUUCCUUCGAGUCCCCAAUUUCCCGCUCAUUGGACUCCAUUCUCUCUUCUAGUUGCUUUUGAGCCGUAGAAUGUGUUUUGCCCAGAAUUUUGAUAUCAAAAUCAAAUGUUCAACAGCCAACCAUUAACACUAAUACAAGAAAUAAGAGCAACAAGAAUUCAAUAAAGACAACCCAACUCCUUCCAGAAGGUUGGAAACUUCUCCCAAAGCCAACCGGAGCUUUUUACCAAAAUCAAUACCUACAUAAUCCAAUCCCCAAAAACAUUCCCUAUUUUUACUCCCUUCACAGGGCUCGCUAUUCCUCCUUCAAUAGAGUUAACACUCUGAAGAAACAUGAAAUAAUAGAACAAAAAUCACAAGUAAAAGUCUACAGUUCUUGAGAUUGAACUCAUAAUCACUAAUUGUCUAAAAAGUAGUUAAGUGCUCAAGAGAUGGAGAAAGAAGAUUGAAGGAGAUGGUGGAUGGAGAAAUCAAAGAAGAAGACGUGUUCUUAUUAGAGAGAGAACUGGGGAAGUGUGCAUUUUUAUUCAAUCACUUCUCACUUAAUCUAUAAGAUACAUAAGCCUACCUAGUUCAUAUCACUUAAACCAUAGAAACUAACUAUUUGACAUGAAAUGGCUCAUUGUUUUAAAAAAUGGAUCCAUUAAACUAUCAACUAACAGUCUCAUAAAAACAAGCCUUUUAAAUUCUUCAUACUUGGUGAUAGCAAGGACUUAAUUGAAAGGAAUUUACACAUAAAGAAUAUGAUUGAGAAUUUUUAUAAAAUUAGGGACAAAAUCUAAAAAAAUGGAACAGAUAGCAGAGAAAUGCAUGUAAGUCUGUACCUCCAUUAAUGUAGUCAAGUUCUCCAGUCUUGAGAGCACCGUUCAAGAUUGGGUAAGCAGUUACACUAAUAAAUAAAAUAUAAAGGUUAAAACUAUUUUGAAAGUAAAACUUGCUCGGGAUACUUCAAAAUAGUUCCUAUGCACUUUAUGGAACAGGAAGCAAAACUUUCAUGGAAAAGUGAAGUUAAAGGUAAUAUAAAAUAAAGUACACACAGGAUAUAACCCAGUCCAAUUUGAUUUAAUUAUAAAUGGGUCAUGUUCUUAAACUCAUUGACGAUAGACACAGUAGAUCUGUAUUAAACUCAUUGGUAAAGUUUACUGCAUUCCAUUUUCAUGUAAUUUAGGUCCUUUGAUGAAUUAUGAAUCCGUCUCUAAAGUUGCAGGAACAAAAUUAAUAAAAAAAUGUCAAAUGAACUCUUACUCUCUAAGGUUCUUUACGUUCUUAAGUUGGACUCUAAAUUCAAUGUCAAUUAAGCAAACCUCCCACCAAAUGUUUAAAUUUCAAUUGAACUUAUGAGAACUGUCAAAUGAUCUAUAAUAUUCUAUAUAUAUGUAUUAUGUAUUAUAUACACUUUUUGAGAUUAACUCUUCUAACAGACAUUGGGCUCUUCAAGUCAUCAAUGACUACAUAAAUCCAACUAAAUUUUGUGAACGAAGUGAUUGAAACGUACCCAGUUGUUGGUGAAACAAUGACAUCUGCAUGUGCUAAUAUUUUCCGAUGAAAAUACAUCUGGCGAUUCCUGCAUAUAAUUAAAACUUUUCAAUACCAAACGAUAGAAAGUUUUGGCAUUGCACAUCACCAAGUGAGGAAAAUAUAAAGGCAUUCUAAUUGAGAUAUACAUCCUGAAUAGAAUAAUGGAAAAGGCUUUGGAGAGAGAAGACCAUGUAGAAGCUUUUAGACGAGCCAAACGAAAAUGAUCAUUCCAAGGAAGUGACUUGUUAGGAAUAUUGACCAAAAUUCGGAUAAGAUAGGUUUCACCGUCUUAGAUCACAAAACCAUAGACUUUAGCGCCAUAGCAGGACCAACCACCAAAUGAAGAAUAUUGUCCUUAAAUAAAUCCAAGAUCUGAAUAUAGGAAGGAAUAUUGAGAGUACUGAAGAACAGGACCUUUCAUAAUCUCAAUGAUAAAUAUCUUAUUCUGUAACAGCAGACUACGGCACUCUAAAUUGUAUAUAUCACUCACAUCUACAUUUCAUAAUCUCAAAGUAUAUACUUUCAGUAGUCUUGAUUUUCAGUCAAUGGGACACAUUUCUUACCUAAUCUUCUGAGCUUUUAUGUACUCCUUGCUACUGAAAGAACCAUAAACCGCCAGUGCUACUCUUGCAUCCCAUCCUAGUUGUGAGGAAUCCCUGUUUCAAUUGCUUGAGUUGACUCAGUAUAUAUGCAACAUAAAUUGAUAACUGAUAUGUAAGUAUGGUGGUUGAAGUUAACAUACAACUUUUCAAGAUAAGAACUCAAUGAAGUGCUGCACUCGGAUGCAAUCGUUGAAUAAUGUGCUAAACGCAUUACUUCUAUCUCUGGAAUAGUCACCUCCACACUCUUUAAAGAAAACAAGAAGAUUAGCAGGAAACUUUCUGAUGCGAUAUGAAUUGUUCUAUCAGUCACCUCCAUAUGAAUAGUUUGUGUUUAUUUUUCAACAUCUUUAUUUUAAAUUACAGGAUAGGUCAAGAGACAUCAAAGGGAUGAAUAAACAAUAAAUUAUUCUUGUAUGUUAGGUUUCAAGAACAUAAAUGCAGUACCUUCCAACCGUUAUGUUUUUGAAGUUUGUCCAUGGCAUUGGAACAGCAAACUCUGAUAUCAUCACUGCAGUCGUUAAACCACUAAUUAUCUCAAUUAGUGGUGUAAAAAUCAAUGAGAUGAUUUGAAACAUUAUUAUAUUGGUUAUGAACAUAAAACAAGUUCAUUUUAAAUUUCUAACCUCGCUAUACUUUGCCAAUGUAACCGAAG